rnacentral:lncRNA from 10 species
CAAACCUCUCCUGCUCGUCCUGGUAGACGGGUCGCCCCGCCAAGACAAUCACCAGCAUCCGCAGCAGCAUCGUGAGGACGAACCAGAGCUUUCCUGGAAGAGAGGAAGCGGGCAUGGCCUCAUCACCCCGAAUACACUGCCCUGACCACACCAGGGUUGCACACAAACACCCCUCCACCUGCUUUGGUCUUUGGAGUCAGCACCCCAGUGUCAGCACAGGAUGAUCUGUGAGAGAACAAUGUCAAACGCAAGACUCCCUUACAUGACGGAGGAACCGCGGAACCAUUCAAAGAAACUAGAAGCCUCAGCUCUCUUCCCUCCAGAAAGGCACAGCCCUUUCUUUUGGGAGUGGGUGGACUUUCAGCUUGGUGCUUGCACACUGAAAAUGAGUAAAUACCUGGACCCUUUAAGGACUCAAUUCCACCAUGGCAGUGGAAAUAAAAACAGCGCAGGAGUUUGGAGAUGGUCCCAAUACUCACCCACCAUGGUCACGUUGCAGUUUAAUGUGAUGAUGAGAAACCCUAGCAAGUCCACGCCUUCCAUGCUUCCAGAAUGUCCCAGGCUCCAGGCUGCAGGAGACACUGGAGGGCUGUGUUCUCCAAGGAGGCGGAUAAAUGUCCUUUAACUACAUAAGACUUAAAGGUGUGAGCUGGAGAUAAGAAAGCAAAGGUCUGAGCCAGGAGUAGGAGGUGGGUUUUUCUGUCUCCAAGUUGAGACGGCCCUAAGCCGUUUGCCUCUGAGGCGAAACAUUCCUGACAACUGCAGUGACCAGCAGAGCAAGCAGCAGUCAUCUCUUAUUGUGGGCUAUUCUUACUCGCCUGGGAUAUUCCCGGCCUGUGGCAGCGCUCAUAUGUCCCCACCAGGACAGCCAGAUGCUUCAGGAUAUAAUAGCAGCAACUACUUUUAACCCAAGAAAGAAAACUUCUGCUAACUAGCCAAGUAAAUUUCUCUAUUAAAAAGGCAUUUCCUCCUUGAAAACAUUUCCACAACCACUUCACUUGUGCAAGAAGCCCUUAAAGUGUUCACGUUUUGUCUUCUCAAUCAAGCAUGAAUCGCCAUGCCACCAUCACACGAACCCACAAGGAUCUCGCCCUUAUUCUGAAUUCCUGUGUCAUUGGUGCAGGCAGAAAUCUGAAACUCAGUUGGGUGUCCCAACUUUAGACCGUGACUUGGUUAUUCUCCUGCUGCUUCCUGUGCAGUGAGUGACAACUCUUCGCUUGGAGACAAAAGCCUGGGUGCAAAGCCCGGGGCAGCCCCCUACUCACUGGGGAAGUCAUUGGAUCCUUCCAGAUAGCCUCAUCUUGCAAUAAGGAGAAUCAUGCCAUUCCACUUGCCAUUUGUGGGAGGCUUAUGUGAAAUGAUGGUGUAGAAUAAGAGCAACUGGUGUGAAGUGGGUGUACGACAACCCAUAUCCGUGGGAUUUCAAUCCCUAAUUGGCCUCUACGACCUUCACAGAUUACAUCUUCCCUUUGUAUCUCCCAGCCCCAUCUAGCCUGGAGCUGUUCCCAUUGAAUCUACUUAAUAAAUGUCUGUUAAAUCUGUCAUGAA